AAACCGUUGAAAGGGAAGCGAAUGGAGUUAGCAAUUCGCCCUGCCAGAUUCAGUUUUUCGCACUUCGCGACGUGCACGCUCUCGAUCCGCAUGGACGAGACGUGCACGGACGCGACGUGUGGACGGCGCACUUCUGGCGGGCGAGCGUCAGCGUCGCUCGUCGACGGGCGACAAAGUCGCGAGGAAGGUAGACGUGCCUUCGGGCGCGUUGUUAAGACUCGCGUUCGCAUGGCUCGACGACGACCGUGGCUCCUUCAUGCGGAGGCGACGCGUGCCUGGCUGGCGACUCGUGCGAUCGGUCCGGCAUGUCGACCGUGGCGGACGGCACGCCUGUGCGCUCGAACUGCUGCCGGUCGCUCGCACGAUGUUCGCACACUACGCGUCGAAGACGCUGACGACCAUACGGCUCCAUCCGACCCGUCUUGAAACACGGACCAAGGAGUCUAACAUGUGCGCGAGUCUCCGGGUGAUCGAAACCCGUGGGCGCAAUGAAAGUAAAGGCCGUCCCAGACGGCUGAGGUGAGAAGCGCGCCUCUUCUCGACGCGCGCCGCAUCAUCGACCGACCUAUUCUGCUCUCAGAGAGGUUUGAGUAAGAGCGUAUCUGUUGGGACCCGAAAGAUGGUGAACUAUGCCUGAAUAGGGUGAAGCCAGCGGAAACACUGGUG
rnacentral:rRNA from 1 species